rnacentral:lncRNA from 1 species
GAUUUAUUAUUCGAGCUGGAUCCUGGAACUUGAGGUGUGAUUCUGCCACAUGACUCUGAAUGAAACAGGUUAUUCUCCAUGUCGUAUGUGGCCUCAGCCAGCCACUUUGAAGCCCAGAAACACCCAGACCUCCUGAGGAGAAAUGUGUGCCUCCAGCCUGGCUUCAGACUGACAAGAGGACACACAGCACCGGAGUGCUCUUACCGACCGAACUAUCUCCCCAGACCGGAGCCCAACCUUUAAAAGAAAGGAAAAUGAAAUGUCUAUAUCAAGGUGAUAGAAGUUCUUAUUCUUUUCCUCUUUGUUCAUAUCUUUACUUUCUAGAAUGUUCCAGAGCAGACUUUUUGAAUGGCUGGGGUUCCAAGUUAUAGUCUGAACACCCCUGACACUCUGGAAUGGGAGGGCUAGACACAAACUCUCCCUGAGUCUCCACUGCCUCGUGAAAUGCACUGGUUCUGAUGUCUGCACAGGUACCUCCAGCUUGCAAAAUUCACGGGUUUGUGGUUUCUUUGUUCUAGUAAGAAACAUUCACAGGUCUUCCAUAUGCUAGCUACUUUGUCAGAAGAUAGUAGCUUAGUUAAAGCUGUCAUCCUACAGAAGAGAACUGCUACCCUCAUUUUACAUGUGAAGAAAUGGAGCUUCAAAGAAACUCUUAGGUGACAGACCUGGAGCCGAGCCCCAGGCAAUGUUUUCUUCACCCUGUAGCACUCCUCAAAAAAGCUAACAAUUCUCAAAGCCUCGCUGCAGGUCUUCCUUGAUUUCUCUCAGAAGCUUAUUGCUUCUCAAGAGUGUCCUGAAGAUGGCGCUGUGGGUCCCGACUGCUCUUGUAACUGGCAUUGGUUUGUCCUUUAAAAAGACUAUGUUUCUGUAGAAAAAUUGGAAUUGAUCCAUUCCUAUCUCCUUGUACUAAGGUCAAAUCUAAUUGGAUCAAGGAACUCCACAUAAAACCAGAGACACUGAAACUUAUAGAGGAGAAAGUGGGGAAAAGCCUCAAAGAUAUGGAUGGGCACGGGGAAAAUUCCUGAAUAGAACAAGCAAUGGCUUGUGCUGUAAGAUCGAGAAUUGACAAAUGGGACCUCAUAAAAUUGCAAAGCUUCUGUAAGGCAAAGGACACCGUCAAUAAGACAAAAAGGCCACCAACAGACUGGGAAAGGAUCUUUACCUAAAAGAUAGGGGACUAAUAUCUAACAUAUAUAAAGAACUGAAGAAGGUGGACUCCAGAAAAUCAAAUAACCCCAUUAAAAAAUGGGGCUCAGAGCUAAACAAAGAAUUCUCACCUGAGGAAUAUCGAAUGGCUGAGAAACACCUGAAAAAAUGUUCAGCAUCCUUAAUCAUCAGGGAAAAUGCAAAUCAAAACAGCCCUGAGAUUCCAUCUCACACCAGUCAGAAUGGCUAAGAUCAAAAACUCAGGUGACAGAAGAUGCUGGCGAGGAUGUGGAGAAAGAGGAACACUCCUCCAUUGUUGGUGGGAUUGCAAGCUUGUACAACUACUCUGGAAAUCAGUCUGGCGGUUCCUCAGAAAAUUGGACAUAGUACUAACGGAGGAUCCCACAAUACCUCUCCUGGGCAUAUAUCCAGAAGAUGUUCCAACCGGUAAGAAGGACACAUGCUCCACUAUGUUCAUAGCAGCCUUAUUUAUAAUAGCCAGAAGCUGGAAAGAACCCAGAUGCCCCUCAACAGAGGAAUGGAUACAGAAAAUGUGGUACAUUUACACAAUGGAGUACUACUCAGCUAUUAAAAAGAAUGAAUUUAUGAAAUUCCUAGGCAAAUGGAUGGACCUGGAGGACAUCAUCCUGAGUGAGGUAACCCAAUCACAAAAGAACUCACAUGAUAUGUACUUACUGAUAAGUAGAUAUUAGCGCAGAAACUUAGAAUACCCAAGAUACAAGAUACAAAGCACAGGAAACUCAAGAAGAACAAAGACCAAAGUGUGAACACUUUGUCCCUUCUUAGAAUUGGGAACAAAACACCCAUGGAAGGAGUUAUAGAGACAAAGUUUGGAGCUGAGACAAAAGGAUGGACCAUCUAGAGACUGCCAUAUCCAGGGAUCCAUCCCAUAAUCAGCCGCCAAACGCAGACACCAUUGCAUACACUAGCAAGAUUUUGCUGAAAGGAUCCUGAUAUAGCUGUCUCUUGUGAGACUAUGCCGGGGCCUAGCAAACACAGAAGUGUAUGCUCACAGUCAGCUAUUGGAUGGAUCACAGGGCCCCCAAUGGAGGAGCUAGAGAAAGUAUCCAAGGAGCUAAAGGGAUCUGCAACCCUAUAGGUGGAACAACAUUAUGAACUAACCAGUACCCCGGAGCUCUUGACUCUAGCUGCAUAUGUAUCAGAAGAUGGCCUAGUUGGCAAUCACUGGAAAGAGAGGCCCAUUGGUCUUGCAAACUUUAUAUGCCCCAGUACAGGGGAACGCCAGGGCCAAGAAGUGGGAGUGGGUGGGUAGGGGAGUGGGUGGGGAGGGUAUGGGAGACUUUUGGGAUAGCAUUGGAAAUGUAAAUGAGGAAAAUACCUACUAAAAAAAUUUUAAAUAAAAGACUAUAUGUUUCGAUC